rnacentral:misc_RNA from 1 species
GAUGAAGAACCAGCGAAAUGCGAUAAGUAGUGUGAAUUGCAGAAUUCAGUGAAUCAUCGAAUCUUUGAACGCACAUUGCGCCCCCUGGUAUUCCGGGGGGCAUGCCUGUCCGAGCGUCAUUACAACCCUCAAGCUCAGCUUGGUAUUGGGCCCCGCCGACCCGGCGGGCCCUAAAGUCAGUGGCGGUGCCGUCCGGCUCCGAGCGUAGUAAUUCUUCUCGCUCUGGAGGUCCGGUCGUGUGCUCGCCAGCAACCCCCAAUUUUUUUCAGGUUGACCUCGGAUCAGGUAGGGAUACCCGCUGAACUUAAGCAUAUCAAUAAGCGGAGGA